GGAGGUGUCGCCUAGUGGCCUAUGGCGCUCGCUUGGAAAGCGGGUUGGGUUAACGCCCUCGGGGGUUCGAAUCCCCCUACCUCCGCCA
rnacentral:tRNA from 1 species